rnacentral:tRNA from 1 species
GGGGGCAUAGCUCAGAUGGGAGAGCACAGCGUUCGCAACGCUGGGGUCGAGGGUUCGAAUCCCUUUGCCUCCACCA